GAUGAACGCUGGCGGCGUGCCUAAUACAUGCAAGUCGAACGAAACUUCUUUAUCACCGAGUGCUUGCACUCACCGAUACAGAGUUGAGUGGCGAACGGGUGAGUAACACGUGGGCAACCUGCCCAAAAGAGGGGGAUAACACUUGGAAACAGGUGCUAAUACCGCAUAACCAUAGUUACCGCAUGGUAACUAUGUAAAAGGUGGCUAUACUACCGCUUUUGGAUGGGCCCGCGGCGCAUUAGCUAGUUGGUAGGGUAAAGGCUUACCAAGGCAAUGAUGCGUAGCCGAAUUGAGAGGUUGAUCGGCCACAUUGGGACUGAGACACGGCCCAAACUCCGACGGGAGGCAGCAGUAGGGAAUCUUCCACAAUGGGCGAAAGCCUGAUGGAGCAACGCCGCGUGGGUGAAGAAGGUCUUCGGAUCGUAAAACCCUGUUGUUAGAGAAGAAAGUGCGUGAGAGUAACUGUUCACGUAUCGACGGUAUCUAACCAGAAAGCCACGGCUAACUACGUG
rnacentral:rRNA from 1 species